CUGAUGCAACCUUUUUCUUGUCUGUCCUUUAGCUGACCCUUUUCAGCCUUGCCAUGUCAUGCUGAGUUCAUGCUCUUCAACCUUGUUGCUUUUCCCUUUCAGUCUUCCCUUUCUUUGUUCCUCAUUCCUGCACAGCCCCUCUUCUUUCCCAAAGUGUGCUCCUCUGAAACCCUGAUCUGGAGCAAUAGUUAGUGACUUGCCUGCCCAGGGAAAAAUGGGCAGCCAUGCCAUCUUUUUUGUCUUCUCAUCAUGACUCUCUGCUCCUCUCCAUCCCCCAUCCCCACACCCCUUGCAUUCUUCCCAGUGGAGAAACUUCCCUGGGAGCAGAGGAAGUUGCUCCGGUGGAAGAUGAGCACAGUGACCCCCAACAUUGUCAAGCAGACCAUUGGACGGUCCCACUUCAAAAUCAGCAAAAGAAACGAUGACUGGCUGGGCUGCUGGGGUCACCACAUGAAGUCUCCUAGUUUCCGAUCCAUUCGAGAGCAUCAGAAGGUAGGGGUCCUUUCUGAGGAGCGGUUUCCCUGGACUUUGGACUAGGCCAAGAGGAGGGGGAUGAUGUGAGUAGGGGGUAGGGGGCGGGAAGAGGAUGA
rnacentral:sRNA from 1 species